rnacentral:rRNA from 1 species
GAUGAACGCUGGCGGCGUGCCUAAUACAUGCAAGUCGAGCGAACAGACGAGGAGCUUGCUCCCCUGACGUUAGCGGCGGACGGGUGAGUAACACGUGGAUAACCUACCUAUAAGACUGGGAUCACUUCGGGAAACCGGAGCUACUACCGGAUACUAUAUUGAACCGCAUGGUUCAAUAGUGAAAGACGGCUUUGCUGUCACUUAUAGAUGGAACCGCGCCGCAUUAGCUAGUUGGUAAGGUAACGGCUUACCAAGGCAACGAUGCGUAGCCGACCUGAGAGGGUGAGCGGCCACACGGGAACUGAGACACGGUCCAGACUCCUACGGGAGGCAGCAGUAGGGAAUCUUCCGCAAUGGGCGAAAGCUUGACGGAGCAACGCCGCGUGAGUGAUGAAGGUCUUCGGAUCGUAAAACUCUGUUAUUAGGGAAGAACAAAUGUGUAAGUAACUAUGCACGUCUUGACGGUACCUAAUCAGAAAGCCACGGCUAACUACGUG